CAUGCAAGUCGAACGAGAGAUGAGGAGCUUGCUCCUCAAAUCGAGUGGCGAACGGGUGAGUAACGCGUGAGGAACCUGCCUCAAAGAGGGGGACAACAGUUGGAAACGACUGCUAAUACCGCAUAAGCCCACGGCUCGGCAUCGAGCAGGGGGAAAAGGAGCAAUCCGCUUUGAGAUGGCCUCGCGUCCGAUUAGCUAGUUGGUGAGGUAAUGGCCCACCAAGGCGACGAUCGGUAGCCGGACUGAGAGGUUGAACGGCCACAUUGGGACUGAGACACGGCCCAGACUCCUACGGGAGGCAGCAGUGGGGAAUAUUGCACAAUGGGGGAAACCCUGAUGCAGCGACGCCGCGUGGAGGAAGAAGGUCUUCGGAUUGUAAACUCCUGUUGUUGAGGAAGAUAAUGACGGUACUCAACAAGGAAGUGACGGCUAACUACGUGCCAGCAGCCGCGGUAAAACGUAGGUCACAAGCGUUGUCCGGAAUUACUGGGUGUAAAGGGAGCGCAGGCGGGAGAACAAGUUGGAAGUGAAAUCCAUGGGCUCAACCCAUGAACUGCUUUCAAAACUGUUUUUCUUGAGUAGUGCAGAGGUAGGCGGAAUUCCCGGUGUAGCGGUGGAAUGCGUAGAUAUCGGGAGGAACACCAGUGGCGAAGGCGGCCUACUGGGCACCAACUGACGCUGAGGCUCGAAAGUGUGGGUAGCAAACAGGAUUAGAUACCCUGGUAGUCCACACCGUAAA
rnacentral:rRNA from 1 species